rnacentral:rRNA from 1 species
UUUCCGUAGGUGAACCUGCGGAAGGAUCAUUAUUGAAUAAACUUGAUGUGGUUGUAGCUGGCUCUCUUGGGGGUAUGUGCUCGCCCGUCAUCUUUAUAUUUCCACCUGUGCACUUUUUGUAGAUUUAGAUGUGACUUUCUGAGGCAACUCAGUUGGGAGGAAUGUCAAUUCGUUGGCUUUCCUUGUAUGUCCAAAUCUAUGUUUUUAUAUACUCCAGAAUGUAAUAGAAUGUAUCAAUGGGCCUUGUGCCUAUAAAACUAUAUACAACUUUCAGCAACGGAUCUCUUGGCUCUCGCAUCGAUGAAGAACGCAGCGAAAUGCGAUAAGUAAUGUGAAUUGCAGAAUUCAGUGAAUCAUCGAAUCUUUGAACGCACCUUGCGCCCCUUGGUAUUCCGAGGGGCAUGCCUGUUUGAGUGUCAUUAAAUUCUCAACCUUACUAGCUUUUAUGAGCAAUGUAAUGGCUUGGAUGUGGGGGUCUUUUUUUUUGCUGGCUUCGAAAGAAAUCAGCUCCCCUAAAAUGUAUUAGCUGGUGCCCCCGUGUGGACUAUCUACUGGUGUGAUAAUUAUCUAUGCCGUUAGAUGUCUGCUUUAAAUAGGGAUGUGCUGCUUCUAAUUGUCCACUUAGGACACUUAUUGACUAUUUGACCUCAAAUCAGGUAGGACUACCCGCUGAACUUAAGCAUAUC